rnacentral:rRNA from 1 species
UUAGGAAUCUUGGACAAUGGGCGCAAGCCUGAUCCAGCCAUGCCGCGUGAGUGAUGAAGGCCCUAGGGUUGUAAAGCUCUUUCAGCGGGGAAGAUAAUGACGGUACCCGCAGAAGAAGCCCCGGCUAACUUCGUGCCAGCAGCCGCGGUAAUACGGAGGGUGCGAGCGUUAUCCGGAUUUACUGGGUUUAAAGGGUGCGUAGGUGGGCUUAUAAGUCAGUGGUGAAAUCUCCGAGCUUAACUUGGAAACUGCCGUUGAUACUAUAGGUCUUGAAUUAUCUGGAGGUAAGCGGAAUAUGUCAUGUAGCGGUGAAAUGCUUAGAUAUGACAUAGAACACCAAUUGCGAAGGCAGCUUACUACAUAUAAAUUGACGCUGAGGCACGAAAGCGUGGGGAUCAAACA